CCUACCACUAGAGACAUUGCAGAUGUGGCUGCUGUGUCACCUGUGCAACAGGAGGUAACAGAGAGGCGAGAGGCUAUGUCUAUCCUCAGUGUUCUGACCUGUCAACACCUGGAUGAUAAGUAGCCUAAUCCA